GAGGGAAUAGCUCAGUGGUAGAGUGCAUGCCUAGCAUGCAUGAGGUCCUGGGUUCAAUCCCCAGUACCUCCA
rnacentral:tRNA from 1 species